AUAGAUUAGGUGAUUCAAAUUGUGAAUAACACAUCUUGAUUUAUUUAAAAAUAUUUGUAUUUAACUAAAAGCAGGCUAAGAAUGCUCCUAUUUAAAACUAAUUCGAACUUAAUAUAAGGAUAUUAAUUAUAUACAUGUAUGGGACAUAUGUAUUGGACCUUUAAUCAUUUUUUAGGUCAAGGAUUUGGGACAGCAGGAGCCCAUUGGUUACUCGGUCAAGGAAAGAAACCAACAUUGAAGCUGUAUUAGGCUCAGAACUCAGCCCAGAACGAAAGAGACUCAAAGGCCCUUGCCUAGUUCGAGUUUUAACCAAGUCUGCCCAUAUUAGGCUUAUAUUAAGCGGGUCCAAUCGCGAAAUUUUAUUGCUUGGGCCUAUCUACUAUUACAUUUUAAGCCAUAAUACAUGUUUGCAAAAGUUGUAACUCAAAUAACUUUUAAGUAGUAAAAUCAGAACCCAAAAUAUCAAAAAUACAACUCAAGCUUGAAGAUUAAUUUCAAUAUUAAGAUUAGCAAAGAAACAUACAAGAUUUGUAUUUAUACUGGAAUUCAAAAGAGAAAAAUUUAUAACUAAACCAAGCUAUUUGGGUUUAAUGCCCAUGCCCAAUGGCCUAGGUCUAGACUUGUUAGGAUUGUUUUUUCGCAAGUCUAGCCCAUCUUUUGUCAUAGAAGCAUGUCUUUUAGAUUUGAAGGUUUGGCCCAAAUCCUUGGCCAUUGCAUCACUUAUGCUUUUAAAAAUAUCACAACAAACUAAUUACACUCUUAUCAACAAUUGAUUUAAUCUUAGUACAUAAAAUCAGAACCUAAUUCAAUAUAGUACCCCCAGAUGAAAAUCCAUUUUAUGACCUAUUAAAUACAUAAACUACUACACUAGCCAUUAAUCUAUUACAACUCCCAUGUAAUCGAUGUCCUAGUUAACACAUGUCUCUUUUGGGCAUGAUUUAUCCAUCAAAAGCUUGGUUUCUCACAUGAAGAACACUAGAUUCAGCAUGCCAAAUAGUAGAACUCUUAGCCUUUGAACCUACUAAUUUGGACAACUAGUGGCCAAAUCUACAUGUACUAGCUCAUGAUUAGCAAAUAGACCCUAAAUGACUUCAAAUAAACACCAAUCUAUUCAUUCACAGAAGAAGGAGGAGAAGAAAUGGCUUUAAACAACUAACACUCAAAAUCAGAAGAACACUUAACUAAAGAAAUAUUUUCAAAUAAAGCUACUUUCAAGAGGGAACCACAAGAAUUAGUGUGUUAAUCAAACAACUCUUAGUAGAUGAUUUCAAGCUCAAACUCAUAUAACAAAAACUAAUUAGAUCGUUAUCUAUGUAAUCAACAAAUAACAUGAAAAACACACAUUUGUCACAUGUAAUUAUGCAGUUUUAAUUUUAUAACAUUUUUAACAAACAUUACAUGAGGAAAGUUUGGAUUCAGUACCUUGAAUAAACAACAACAAAACCAGCAACUAACAAAUGAACAAGCCGGCUGAAACAUAAAAGAAAUGGAGCAGCAAUAGAACCCACACAACAAUAACCAAAAUCAAACCAAACUUCGCCACAACUACAACAGCUAACAACAGUAAACCCCAAAUAAACCAGAAAUCCUGACUUUUAAUCCAUAUUUUAACUUAUGACAACCAGAAAAUCCCCCAAAGUUCUUUAAGUUUUCUUUUGCUAAAAUAAGAAAAAAAGGAAUCAACUCGUAAGAACACAACAACAGAACUUUUAGCGAGUAUUUUUAGGGUUUGAAAAUCUGAUUGUCUGUGUGUAUCAGUGAAGAAAAGGUAUCAUAUAUAGGCACAAAACAUGCCAUGUGCUGAAAGAAUAAAGGAAUCAUUCCAUCAGCCACCAAAGGCAUAUUUUAACAGAAUUGGACAACUGGUUGUCCCUAAUUGAUUUCAGUACUUUUGUAUUAACCAAAUGAGGUCAGCUGCCCCUAUUCUAGAACCUUCCAGCAUGGUCUUUAUCCUAUUUCAAAUUUAUCCACCCCUCUCAUGACCCCUUAAGUUUUUCUUUUGUUCAAAUAAACCCUUACAAGUUUAUAAUGAUGCACAUAUCAAACAAACAUGGACUAGGCCAGCAAUUAACAAAAAUAAUGAUAAACAAAUAAUCAAGCAAUUAAAAAAAUGCAAUUGAAUUCUACAAUAAAAAACAUAGACUAAACAAAUCUGUACAUGAAUCGAAUUAUGAUGGAAUUAGUAGGAUAUUUAUGCAAUGAAACUAUUAAAAUAUGUCAAUUUACACUACCACAAGCAGAUGAAAAAAAACACAUAAAGCUGGAGCGUUGAGAAACCCUAAAUCAUGCGAACUACAAAGAACAGCCAAAAAGAGAAAAAGAAGAUUAAUAGAAAAAAUGACCAAAAAUAAACACCACAAAUGA
rnacentral:lncRNA from 1 species